UACGUAGGGGGCGAGCGUUGUCCGGAAUUACUGGGCGUAAAGAGAGCGUAGGCGGCACUGCAAGUCUCAUGUGAAAUACCCGGGCUCAACUCGGGGGUUGCAUGGGAAACUGUAGAGCUUGAGUACGGGAGAGGCAAGCGGAAUUCCUAGUGUAGCGGUGAAAUGCAUAGAUAUUAGGAGGAACACCAGUGGCGAAGGCGGCUUGCUGGACCGAAACUGACGCUGAGGCUCGAAAGCGUGGGGAG
rnacentral:rRNA from 1 species